rnacentral:lncRNA from 10 species
ACACUGUCAGGCCCUGAGGUCAGCAGAUCUGCUCCUCCUUCCCGUGCGGUACGUCUAGGUGCUGAUAUACUUCCAGCAUGUAGUAAACGGUCCAGAAGACGGUGAAACAGCCUACCAGCACCAAGGUCUGGGGCCGAGGCAAGCACCUACGUGAGGCACUGUUUCCCGAAGCCUACAGCCUUUCUCAGUCCAGGACAAUGAGCUCAGAAAGUCUUUUUCCUUCUAGGGACUGCCUUUUUCACCCAAACUGUUCCCUCUGCCCCCUCCCCCGACAAGGCCUGUCCUGUAAGAGUUAGGCUAGCAGGGUAGGAGCAAUGCUAUGAAACCACUGCUGGGACCCAGGUCUUCCCAGUCCUUCACCCCGCAGGUCACCCUGAGAAACACACUAAGAACUCCAUCCCCCAGACAGGACAGUCCCAUCUACCCGCAGCUUGAGUCUUGGCCCUAGUACCUUGAGGGUGUUGGGGGUGAUGGUGUAACCAUCUUCCUCAGGAAUUUUCAGCCCCGGUGGGCAGGGCAGGGCGAAGUCAUCGUGCAGGUAUUUUCCACUCAUGGCACUCUCUAACAGCCUGUGGAGAAGAAAAGAGGUGAGGAUGCCCCACUGACUAUGGUUCCUAUACCAUCUGCCCUCACCCAUUUUCCUGCCUUACAGGUGAAGACAGGGAAGCCCCACAGCAAAAAGGAGAGGCCCAGACUGUGAGUUCCCAGCCCGGGGCUCCAUCUACCAGCUUGACGCUGGAACUGGGAAGCACAGCUGGGGUUCAGAGGGCGAUGGGCUCCCUAGGCAGCCCUUCCCCUGUGACUGGCCUUCCCUCUGACACAUGCGGCUUUACCCACCUUUGUCUGUCCCUGAUGUCUACUGCACUCCACACAGAGCCAUAUAGGGUCAGCUGCCAUUGCCGGAGGAUGCCGACCUGGAAUGACUCAUCCCCUAGGGCAGCAAGGGGCAGCUCGUGAGCCACGCCCCUCUGUCAGCCAUGCCAGACAGCAGAGGCCCUGCCCGCCCUGCCACCCAAAGGGGCUCAGGCCACAUGGUCUGCUCCAGGAGCUGCCUCACUGUGUCCCACUGACCCCAGGUUCUGCAGAAGGGCCUCACUGGGUGCCCUUAGGGAUGGAAAGGGUUGAAAGGCUGUACUCCAAAGCAGAGUCUUGCUUUUCUCUCCCGUAUUUUGGGGGUUCAGCUGGGAUUAGAAAAAAAUGUCUUUCCACCAAAUUAAAGAAAGCUUUGAAAACCACUGGCCUAGAGAAUACCUAACUGACUGGAGGAUGGGAGGGUGGAGCUCAAUUUCCAGUCUAUAGGCUGAUACUAAAGAUAUUCACAAUUCAUGGAUAUUGUGGCCUUCACUGAUAUGGUGACCUUCCACAAGUCACCUCAAACCUCUGGGCCAGUUUAAAAAAAAUGGUGAAAUGAGUCCUGCCCUUACCUGCCUACCGGGGCUUGCCGAAGGAUGGUUAUACGUAAAAGGACUUGAAAUGUGGUUUCGACAAGGACUUUUUGUUGCUAUCCUGAGGAAAGAUGGAUGGGUCACUCCUCCAGGGAAUAUGAGAGGUAGUAUAAAUGAACAGUUUCAGAGAGCAAUGCCCAUUUCACGGAUGGGCACACUCUUGGCAUCAACUCUCUUGGUCCAAUGGCAACCCUAUAUAUUGCACACGGGACACUUUCUGUGGGGACUCUGAGAUGCAGAGGGACCAGAUAACAAGCAGGAAAGGUAGGGCCUGGUGUGAGGGCACGAGACUCACCGACAUCCCUGAUGACAAGCCUGUAGGUCCCUCGGGCUCUCUCCCCCCAGCAUCGCACAGUGGAGAAGGUCCAGUCAUUGAAGCCGUUGGG